rnacentral:rRNA from 1 species
UGGCGAACGGGUGAGUAACGCGUGAGGAACCUGCCUCAAAGAGGGGGACAACAGUUGGAAACGACUGCUAAUACCGCAUAAGCCCACGACCCGGCAUCGGGUAGAGGGAAAAGGAGCAAUCCGCUUUGAGAUGGCCUCGCGUCCGAUUAGCUGGUUGGUGAGGUAACGGCCCACCAAGGCGACGAUCGGUAGCCGGACUGAGAGGUUGAACGGCCACAUUGGGACUGAGACACGGCCCAG